GAGGAGCGGCGCGGCGUGCGCCACGCACUAACAGGGAAAACUCCACAGAAGAAAACGAGCGGCAGACCCAAAACUUACCAAUGUGCCCACUGUGAAUACGCAUCAGCUAUGAAGUCAUGGUUAAUAAUGCAUUUGAGAAUACAUUCUGAUGAGAAGCCAUACCGAUGUAACCAGUGUAGCUACGCUAGUAGAUAUAAACAUCAUUUACAAAUUCAUGUAAGGAAACAUACUGGGGAAAAGCCAUACAAAUGUGACCUGUGUAAUUAUGCCAGCAGACAAAAAGGUCCUUUGCUAGUUCAUGUAAAGAAACACACUGGCGAAAAGCCUUACAAAUGUGAACAGUGUAGUUAUGCUAGCAGCAAUAAAGAUCUUUUGCGAGUUCACGCAAGGAAACACACUGGUCUAAAGCCUUUCAAAUGUGAUCAGUGCAGUUAUGCUAGCAAACGAAAAGGAUCUUUGAUAGUACAUUUAAGGAAACACACCGGUGAAAAGCCUUACAUAUGUGACCAGUGUAGUUACGCUAGCAGCCAAAAAGCUCUUUUGCAAGUUCAUGUAAUGACACAUGCUAAUGAAAAACCUUACCGGUGUAACCAGUGUAGCUUUGCUGGUUAUCGCAAAGAAAGUCUGACAAUUCAUAUAAGAAAACACACUGGUGAAAAGCCGUACAAAUGUGACCAGUGUAGUUAUGCUAGCAGCCGUAAAUAUAGUAUGGUCCUUCAUAAAAGAAAACACGCCAGUGAAAAACCUUACAAAUGUGAUCAUUGUAGUUACGCCAGUUUUCGCAAAUAUGAUUUACAAGAACAUGUAAGGACACAUAGUAAUGAGAGCCUUCAGUGUGACCAAUGUGAUUAUACUAACAGAAUAAAAAGAAAUUUGCAAGUGCAUUUAAGGAAACACACAGGGCAGAAGCCUUACAAAUGUGACGAGUGUAGUUUUGCUACUAUUUACAAAAAAAGUUUACAAGUCCAUAAAAGUAACAAGCAUUCUAAAUAAAAUACUUUACCAGAGCGAGCUUACAAGUAUAAAUAAUUAUUCACCAUGAUCUUGAACAGCAGCACAAAGGCCUCAGCGGCAACCGCGAGCGCUCGCGCGGCCUCGACGUGUCGGACGCGGAGACCAAGAGAACUACAGCCGGAGACCGCACUGUUAUUACACCGGGCUACGUGUAGUAACCUUUUUCUUGCCAAAAAAAAUGAAUCAUGAGUGAAGGCUCCCUUGAAUCGGUGGCGCCUAAUGCGCAUAUGAGCAUGCUAUAUAGGGUACGGAGAUUGCUUACCAUCAGGCGGGCCGUAUGCUUGUUUGCCACCGACGUAGUAUAAAAAUGGUUUUAGUUACACAUACAACCCAAUUCCUUCACCUAAUGCGUUUAAAAACCGAAAAUUACGACUAGCAUAAAAAUGAACUGUAUUGUUAUAACCGAUUUCUUAUAUGAAAAUGUAAUUAUUGCAAAAUGAUUAUAUAUAGUGCAAUUUGUUUUUUUUCUCCUCGUCAUCUUUAAUGGUUGAAUUAAGACUUCAUAUACCAAACUAUAAUCGCUUAUUUUUCACAAUAGAUUCCCGAUUCAGCAAAUAAAUUCAUAACGAAAUGCUUUACUCAAUUAUAAUUAAUUCGAUCAAUCACGUGUCGCUGUGGUGAAGAGGAAUUUAAUGAAUAAGAAGUGCGUUGAUGUCUUUUGUACUAUCUUUCUAUCUACUGAUAUACUUACCAAUUUCGAAUGAUUAUUACAUUUUAUAUUUAAAAAAGUAUGGUACAAUAGUGAUGAAAUCAGGCUUAGAUAUAUGCCUUUGCACCUAAUGUUGUAUAGUAUUUAUUUAUGUAUGUAUUUGUAAUUGUAUUUAGUUAUGUUUCUAGGUUUAGCUACUUCUUUAAACUGUCGUCAUGUACAUAUUAUCUUAGUUUUACUACCAUUUCGUAUGUAUCCCUCUCAGUUGCUUAAAUGUUAGCUGGAAGAGAUCCCUUAAGGGGAUAAGUUCGCGUUUGUACACAUUUACAGUACUACUACUAGUACAGUGUUUACUACUACUAAUACUAGAAAUAUGCUCACAAUGUAACUUUUAUGUAAAGUUAGAGACAACAUUAAAUGUUCAAUUUAUAUCAUUUAAAAUAGAGAUAUCAAAUAUAUCUGCCAAUCUAAACGCAUAUCGGUCUUGUUAGGUGUUAAACGUUAAUAAAAUACAGUGUUUUAAU